ACUCAAAGGAAUAGACGGGGGCCCGCACAAGCAGCGGAGCGUGUGGUUUAAUUCGAUGCAACGCGAAGAACCUUACCUGGGCUUGACAUGACGGUGUAAGGGCUGGAAACAGCCCCCCCUUCGGGCACCGCCACAGAUGUUGCAUGGCUGUCGUCAGCUCGUGUCGUGAGAUGUUGGGUUAAGUCCCGCAACGAGCGCAACCCUCGUGGUCUGUUGCACAUCAGGCCAGACUGCCUCUCAACGAGGAGGAAGGUGGGGAUGACGUCAAGUCCGCAUGGCUCUUACGUCCAGGGCUACACACACGCUACAAUGGCCGGUACAAUGGGCAGCCACGGUGCGAACCGGAGCGAAUCCCCAAAGCCGGUCUCAGUUCGGAUACCAGGCUGCAACUCGCCUGGUUGAAGUCGGAGUUGCUAGUAACCGCGUGUCAGCAUAGCGCGGUGAAUAUGUUCCCGGGCCUUGCACACACCGCCCGU
rnacentral:rRNA from 1 species